CUACGGGCUGCACCAGUGAGGAAUAUUGCACAAUGGGGGGAACCCUGAUGCAGCAACGCCGCGUGGAGGAUGACGCAUUUCGGUGUGUAAACUCCUUUUAUAUGUCAAGAAAAUGACGGUAGCAUAUGAAUAAGCACCGGCUAACUCCGUGCCAGCAGCCGCGGUAAUACGGAGGGUGCAAGGCGUUCUCGGAAUCACUGGGCGUAAAGGACGCGUAGGCGGGUUGGAAAGUCAGGUGUGAAAUCCUACAGCUUAACUGUAGAACUGCACUUGAAACUUCUAAUCUAGAGUAUGGGAGGGGGAGAUGGAAUUAGUGGUGUAGGGGUAAAAUCCGUAGAUAUCACUAGGAAUACCUAAAGCGAAGGCGAUCUCCUGGAACAUUACUGACGCUAAGGCGUGAAAGCGUGGGGAGCAAACAGGAUUAGAUACCCGUGUAGUC
rnacentral:rRNA from 1 species